rnacentral:misc_RNA from 1 species
GUAAAGACAAGGAUGAAGCUGAGGUUUGGAUUACUGGGCUGAAAGCAAUAAUUACGAGGGGACGCUCUCGCAGAGGAAAAUAUGAUGCAAGAAGUGAAACCAUGUUUUCGGAUAGUCCACUUGGUCAACGAGUCACCACAUCAACUUCAUCUAUUGAUCAAGGAGACAAUCAGAGAACUGAGAGUUUACCUCAGAGCAGGCUUGGAAAAGCCUAUGCUGAC